CUAUUCUCAAGUUACUCCCAGUGGGACUGAUCUCCCCGUUGCCUGAAAAACUAUGGGACUCACAACUACUUCUCCAUCACCGUAUCUGCCUGUGUGCCACCAUGCUACCCAUCAUGAUGAUGAUGGACAGAACCUCUGAAACUAUACCAUGCUCCAUCUUCCCUGGGCAUUGAAUGAGGAUUCACAACAGCAAGUCUCUAGAGAUCUUGGCCUUCAGCCUCAGAUGUGUUUGCAUCAUUGGUCCCUUUGUUCCGAGGCUCCCAACUUCUUGGGCUGAAUAGCUAUGGCUUCAUCUUGCUUCCUGUAGAUGGCCAUUGGAGUAUUCAGGGUUCUCUAGAGCCUAGCUUCUUAAACUGUGGUUUAACAUUCCAUAUGGGCUCACAUAACUCAGGAGGGGGUCACAAAACAUUGACAAUGGUAAAAGUUUUC
rnacentral:lncRNA from 1 species